CAGCAGGAAAGCCCGUCAUCCCUGAGCCGCCACCAGCCCUGCUGACCCACUGAGCCCUGCAACCAUCCCGAUCGUUCCAGAUCCAGCCUGUCCCUCACAGGCAGCCCGUCCUCUCCUCAUAAAGACCCUGCAGCCCCCAUCUGCCAGCAAAACCCCGUGUAUGAGAAGUGGUAAGUAUGAUUUUUUUAUCGUGGCUUUACAGUUUUGUUUUGUUUUUUUUUAACCGUUAGCAAGGUUUAUCUUGGGCCACGUGUGGCCACUGCAGCCCCGUUAGGGUGGUGGGUGCCCACGGGGGGCUCAUUCUGCGGGCUGUGAGUGGGCUCUUGGGUAUGAGGUUGCCUUGCUCCUUCGCUGACUGCUGCUUGGUCUUGUUUUCUUUGUAUUCAUUAUCUUCCCUGAUCAAAAACUGCUAACGGUUUUUGGAAGGGUGUGAUCCUCUAAGAUCUGAGGACUGCAAAAUCUGCAACUGACACAAGAAAUGUAGGAUUUAAUCUCAAACCAAUAUUGUCUUCCCUUCCCAGGAGAAGGAGGGGCUCAUUUUACAAUGACAUUAAGAAUUCAUUCCCUUAAAUGAGUCCAAGACUUCCUAGGAUAUCGUCACUCCAAAUGAAGUCAGCUACCAGUGCAUCAGUGUCUUGUCUGCUUUCUCAGAGAAACACUAGACUUGUCUUAAAGCAUUUCUUUGUUUGGAAGACUUGGACACAGACAAAAGAGUACUUGAAGAUCAGAAUAGAGAAUCUGUUUAUUACAAAGCAAAAGCUUACUGGCAACACUUUUGAAACACUGUGCUUGCAAAGGAGAGAGUGCAUACCUGUUUCUUUGAGCAAACACUCAGAAUAUAUCUCCACACUGUUUUGUAGGUUGGGAGGAAGAAAGUAUUUUUGCUUUCCUAAAUAG
rnacentral:lncRNA from 1 species